AUUGAACGCUGGCGGCAUGCUUUACACAUGCAAGUCGAACGGCAGCACGGGCUUCGGCCUGGUGGCGAGUGGCGAACGGGUGAGUAAUGCAUCGGAACGUACCGUGUAGUGGGGGAUAACGUAGCGAAAGUUACGCUAAUACCGCAUACGCCCCGAGGGGGAAAGUGGGGGACCGCAAGGCCUCGCGCUAUAUGAGCGGCCGAUGUCGGAUUAGCUAGUUGGUGGGGUAAGGGCCUACCAAGGCGACGAUCCGUAGCGGGUCUGAGAGGAUGAUCCGCCACACUGGGACUGAGACACGGCCCAGACUCCUACGGAGGCGAGCAGUGGGGAAUUUUGGACAAUGGGCGCAAGCCUGAUCCAGCCAUGCCGCGUGAGUGAAGAAGGCCU
rnacentral:rRNA from 1 species